rnacentral:pre_miRNA from 1 species
ACUGUUUUUUCUUGGUGCUUAGAGUCCUUCUUUUUUGUCGUCUAGCACCAUGAAAAAGCAGUCU